UGGGGAUAUUGCACAAUGGGGGAGACCCUGAUGCAGCGACGCCGCGUGAGCGAUGAAGUAUUUCGGUAUGUAAAGCUCUAUCAGCAGGGAAGAAAAUGACGGUACCUGACUAAGAAGCCCCGGCUAACUACGUGCCAGCAGCCGCGGUAAUACGGAGGAUGCGAGCGUUAUCCGGAUUUAUUGGGUUUAAAGGGUGCGUAGGCGGUCUGUUAAGUCAGCGGUAAAAUUGCGGGGCUCAACCUCGCCGAGCCGUUGAAACUGGUAGACUUGAGUGGGCGAGAAGUACGCGGAAUGCGUGGUGUAGCGGUGAAAUGCAUAGAUAUCACGCAGAACUCCGAUUGCGAAGGCAGCGUACCGGCGCCCAACUGACGCUGAAGCACGAAGGCGUGGAUAUCGAACAGGAUUAGAUACC
rnacentral:rRNA from 1 species